AAAGAUUCUUAUGCACUGUGAAUACAUGAACUAGCUCGCUAUGUAGGUAACUUCUUCACAUGAAAGCUACAAAUAGUACUAAUGACUUCCUUGUGAGGUUAAUGUAGUAUAUUCCUUCAAUGAAUGUUCUUGUUUACUUAUAACUUGAUGUCACGAGGUGUAAGCAAGACAAAAGAGUGCAGUUAAUUUACAUUAAAACUUAUUGAUUCUUUUAUUCAAUGGUUUUGUAACCUGGAUAGUUAUCCCUUACCUAAAAACUAUUUAACUGCAGUUUUGUUGCUCCUUUCCUCACAGUCUUUGGUCCUCUGCCUGCUUUGUUAUUCUGCUGUGGCAAUAAAAAAACAUGGAUUUUUGCUGCAGUUCUAAAUGAGAAUUCUUGCCAGCUAGAGUGGUGACAUAUGUUAAGAGGGGUUCUGUCCUAAACAAUCCUGCCUCGGAGGAGUCUGAAGGGAGAUGUGGAUUAAGAGUUCACAGAACUUGAAAGAUUCUCCUUCUACCUGCAGCUUGAUGACAUUUUUGCUCUGUGUAUGCUGUAUUUGUCGUUACAGCAUUCUAACAGGACUAUCUGACCAGAAAAUUUCUGGUCAGGGCUGCUCUUUAUUUCCUGAAGAUGGUUGAACAACAUAUAUCUGUUAUUUAAGCAGUAUAUUUCCCAUUCACUUUAGAAUUAUUUUUUACAAUACUUGCUUUAUCCCACAGUUCUAUGCCUCCCUUUCUGCACCUUUAAAGUAGGAUAGCUCAUAAAUUCACUGUCAAUACUGUACAGCAUACUAUGUAAUGUUUUGGCAUCCAAUCAGUAUUGAAAGUAAUCUAGUGGAAAGAUUUUGAAACUUUAAUCAUUUCCUUUUAUAUCUUGGUGUGCAGUUUAACAAGGUUCAAUCAUGAAAGAUUUCUGGAACUUAUUUUUUUUUCUAAGGACAGUACACAACAAUGUAGACUCCAGAAAGAAAAUUAAAAACUGCUGAAGUGACUCAGAGUUAACGUAGUCUUUGAAUCCUUAUGGGAAGGGCAAAACCAGAACACUCAUCUAGCCAUGAUCCAUGGCCAUUCUCUUGUUUACUGCAGAAGAGAGAAUGAGAAGGUUGGCUGAACAAGUGAGAAGUGCUUUUGCUACAGUUGUACAGUUAAAUUUUAGGUUGCAGGAUAUCAUGAUCCUGGAUUUCUGGCACACUGUCUUACAGUGUUGCUAAAACAUUAACACCUCCUACCAUGAUCAGAUUUCAGAGAGAAACCUUAGCUUAGCACUUCAUUAUGUUCUUGUUGUUGUGAUAAAAUUUUGAGUUUUCUCCUCACAAUAACUUCAUACCACCAAAAAAAUUACUCAAUGUUUAGGUAUUUACAGAUAAUAUUGUACAUGAACAGAUAUCCAAGAACUUGUCUCCUCAUUUUUGUCAACUGUAUUUGUAACAUAGUCCUUGCUCUUUAAUGUUUAGACAUUAGACAAUAUUCUUCUUUGCUAGGAUUCAUGCUUGAAGCUGUUAAUAAGUAUAUAAAUGUUCAUAACUUAGUAAGAACUAUGCACAUGAUUUUUCUUUUGUCUAAUAAUUAAAACUAUUUGAUAACUCAAUAUGACAGAGAGACUAAACAAAAAAAGACACUAAAAAUUAUUUCUCUACUU
ensembl:lncRNA